CCCUGUAGAGCCAAGGACAAGGGAAGCCAUCAGCUGCUGGCUCCUGCUGCUCCUGCGCCUCCUGGCCCAGGUGAGGGGAGCCAGAGAGCGGGCUCACCUCCCAGCUGAACCACGGGCCACAGGGACCCCAAGGGGCAGAAAGAGACUGGACCUAGCUAGCACUGCUGCCAUUGGGAGGAAGAAAUUCCACAGAGAAAGUGCCUGGGGGGAAGAGGAAGGCGCACACAGGCCUCCAUGGGAAGGUGUAUCUAUACUCAGGGUGACAGCAGCUCUGUCUUGACCUCCCAAAGACACGCAGGCAUAGUCCUAUACGCAGUCACAAGGUGGGGAUGUACAGCCCCUGGAUUUGUGGGGGUUUGUAAGACUGGCUUCUCAAUAAUUCUGUGUGUAGCUCAGGCUGCGCCCGCUGCCCGAAGACCAGACUUCUGCAGAUGUCAGGCCUGGGAAGGAGCACCAGCAGAGAGGGGCUUGGAGCCUGGGGCCAGAACCCGCUUAGCCGAGUGAAUGGCCCUUCUCCAGCAGGGAGAACUCUCUCUGGUGAGCAGGCUGAGUCCCCAGGUGCUCCUGUGAGGCAGGCACGGCCUCACCAGGCACAGUCAUUCACCGGCUGGUUCAUCUGCUCACUGCAGACCUACUGUGCACCUCUGCCCCUUGCCAUUCCUCCGGGUGCAUGAGUGCCGCCCAGGAGCUGGUGUGUGACACAGGUAGUCUAUGCUCUAUGCCUCUAAGAUCCAGUUUCUCUAGCCCUACCUCCUAGAUGUGAUAGAGAAUCAAACUGAGGAGCCUCUAUGGAGACUAAUGAAAGCAUGCCUAGUUUCCAACUCCACUCAGCUUGUCACUAUGACUGGGGGCCUGUGGCCACGUCCCUUCACUCCUCCAGGCACCGGCAGGGAUCAGCUGGCUUCCCCUGGAUCCCCAGGCCUGAAGGCCCCUCCUGAGUUGCCUCUGAAGCUCCAGGAUGCCAAGCACCCAUCAGGCUGCCAGGAGCUGUGGGCGCAUUGAUGAGCUCAGAAGCAGCCGCCCUGAAGGAUACCCAGUCCCCUCUGGCCCUGCAUCCCUCUGGGAACUCAACUUUAGCCUUCAGAUGUGACUCUCGCAGAGCUUCCUGACCCAAAACGCACCCUGUGCUCCGCUGGAGCCUGUGUGUACAGAGCUUUAAGAAGCUACCACUGUAGACCACAGCCUGCUCCAGGUGAUGGGGCUGAUGGAAGGAGCCCCACCAUUUCCAUUGCUGGCCCGACACCCAGUAAAUAUGCAAAUGUUGAAGCACACGUGACUGAGGCCGAAGUAGCCUUCGACGUCCCGGAGCAGAAAAGGCUGCAUUCCAGGGAAGAACGUACACUUCGUGUCUUUUUAACUCCCUGGUCUACGUCUUCAAUUGCACUUCACGGGUUAUAGUAAUGAUAAUCAUUGCCAGCAUGUGUGUAAUGCUUUAGGCUUACAAAGCACCUCCCCACUCAUUGUCUAGUGUAUGAGGAAUCCAGCAUUCCCAUCUCAGAGUGAGGAAGCGAUGGCCAGUGGGCCGGGGUGACCUGCCCAGGUUCUCAGCCCAGAGCUGCCCCGUUACCAGUUUGCUCCCACACCGAUAUGGUACGUGUGUCUGUAUUAAUUAAUAAUUCACUU